UGGACUUAGUCAUAUUCAAUCGUCUCUUCAUCGGCAACAAUCCUCAUCGGCAACUCUUCUGCAGACUAGUUACCGUUGCUCCACCUGCCGAUCUAUACUCUACUGGUCCCUGGGUACGUGUCCAAAAACGGUGUCAACAAGUCUCAAGCAAGAAUUCCCUGCACCUCGGUGAAAACAUCAAAGCAGAAGUCCACACAUUCAAGCACACAAUGGGAAGAAAUCAUGAGAGCCAUGUUGCCAUGGUCACACAACAGCACCUAAUGGUA
rnacentral:lncRNA from 1 species